CGCCACCUCAUCUUUAGGAAACUCUGAAGCUCUGGCUUCUUGUGGAAUGUAAGACUUUGUCCGGCAUUUGGAGUGGGGGGAGCAAAAGCCAAACUCUCCUCCCCCCACCCCCGAGAAUGGUAAAGUCAUCAGCACUUAGGGAAAAAAAUUCCUCAAGAAGAAAAACAGAAAGAGGAAAGUGCUGAGCUCUGAGAUCUCACCCUCUCCAAAUUUCCCCAAGUGCCCUCCCUCCACGAGGGAGGGGGCAGGCCUGUGUUCCCCAGCUCCCCUCUCCCUCUGGAGCCCCUCAAGCCCCCGGUCUGGACUCGGUGAUGUGGGACACGGGAGAAGAGGCGGCCCUGGUGUUGGUGCACCUGGUGGGCAGAGCUUUGGUCCCCAGCAGGGGGUCUGAAGCAGAGAGGGUCACAAUCAGGUCUGGAUUUGGAAGAGACCCUCAUGGUCACUUGGUGGAGCAGAUACUGGUGGAGGGCUGUGGUGGACGGCGGCUGCUGCAGCUGCCCAGGUGAGAGCUGCUGGGAGCCUGGACCAGGCUGAAGCGAAUGGAAACAAAGAAGAGGAUGGAUUCAAGAGGUCUUUGGGAGGUGUGAGACGCCUGCCACAGCAUGUCUUGAGCAGCAAUGCUUAGGUCCACACCUGGGAUCCGAACCAGCAAACCUCCAGCUGCCAAAGCAGAUUGUGCGAACUUAACUACCGCGCCACUGGGCCAGCCUCC
rnacentral:lncRNA from 1 species